UUAUACCGCGAAACUGCGAAUGGCUCAUUAAAUCAGUUAUCGUUUAUUUGAUAGUACCUUACUACUUGGAUAACCGUGGUAAUUCUAGAGCUAAUACAUGCUAAAAAUCCCGACUUCGGAAGGGAUGUAUUUAUUAGAUUAAAAACCAAUGCCCUUCGGGGCUCUUUGGUGAUUCAUAAUAACUUCUCGAAUCGCAUGGCCUUGCGCCGGCGAUGGUUCAUUCAAAUUUCUGCCCUAUCAACUUUCGAUGGCAGGGUCUUGGCCUGCCAUGGUGACAACGGGUAACGGAGGGUUAGGGCUCGACCCCGGAGAUGGAGCCUGAGAAAUGGCUACAACAUCCAAGGAAGGCAGCAGGCGCGCAAAUUACCCAAUCCCGAUUCGGGGAGGUAGUGACAAUAAAUACUGAUACAGGGCUCUUUUGGGUCUUGUAAUUGGAAUGAGUACAAUUUAAAUCCCUUAACGAGGAACAAUUGGAGGGCAAGUCUGGUGCCAGCAGCCGCGGUAAUUCCAGCUCCAAUAGCGUAUAUUAAAGUUGUUGAGGUUAAAAAGCUCGUAGUUGAACCUUGGGCCUGGCUGGCCGGUCCGCCUCACCGCGUGCACUGGUUCGGCCGGGCCUUUCCCUCUGGGGAACCCCAUGCCCUUCACUGGGUGUGGUGGGGAACCAGGACUUUUACUGUGAAAAAAUUAGAGUGUUCAAAGCACGCCUAUGCUCGAAUACAUUAGCAUGGAAUAAUAGAAUAGGACGUGUGGUUCUAUUUUGUUGGUUUCUAGGACCGCCGUAAUGAUUAAUAGGGACAGUCGGGGGCAUCAGUAUUCAAUCGUCAGAGGUGAAAUUCUUGGAUCGAUUGAAGACUAACUACUGCGAAAGCAUUUGCCAAGGAUGUUUUCAUUAAUCAGGAACGAAAGUUAGG
rnacentral:rRNA from 1 species